AGGCUGCAACUCGCCUACACGAAGCUGGAAUCGCUAGUAAUCNCGGAUCAGCACGCCGCGGUGAAUACGUUCCCGGGCCUUGUACACACCGCCCGUCACACCAUGAGAGUCUGUAACACCCAAAGCCGGUGGGAUAACCUUUAUAGGAGUCAGCCGUCUAAGGUAGGACAGAUGAUUAGGGUGAAGUCGUAACAAGGUAGC
rnacentral:rRNA from 1 species